rnacentral:rRNA from 1 species
UACGUAGGGGGCAAGCGUUGUCCGGAAUCAUUGGGCGUAAAGAGCGCGUAGGCGGUCCGGUAAGUCCGCUCUGAAAGUCCGGGGCUCAACCCCCGGGAGGCGGGCGGAUACUGUCGGGCUAGAGUCCGGAAGAGGCGAGUGGAAUUCCUGGUGUAGCGGUGAAAUGCGCAGAUAUCAGGAGGAACACCAAUGGCGAAGGCAGCUCGCUGGGACGGUACUGACGCUGAGGCGCGAAAGCGUGGGGAGCAAACAGG